rnacentral:rRNA from 1 species
UGGAUCCAGACUUUGAUCAUGGCUCAGGAUGAACGCUAGCUACAGGCUUAACACAUGCAAGUCGAGGGGAAACGACAUCGAAAGCUUGCUUUUGAUGGGCGUCGACCGGCGCACGGGUGAGUAACGCGUAUCCAACCUGCCCACCACUUGGGGAUAACCUUGCGAAAGUAAGACUAAUACCCAAUGAUAUCUCUAGAAGACAUCUGAAAGAGAUUAAAGAUUUAUCGGUGAUGGAUGGGGAUGCGUCUGAUUAGCUUGUUGGCGGGGUAACGGCCCACCAAGGCAACGAUCAGUAGGGGUUCUGAGAGGAAGGUCCCCCACAUUGGAACUGAGACACGGUCCAAACUCCUACGGGAGGCAGCAGUGAGGAAUAUUGGUCAAUGGACGAGAGUCUGAACCAGCCAAGUAGCGUGCAGGAUGACGGCCCUAUGGGUUGUAAACUGCUUUUAUAAGGGAAUAAAGUGAGUCUCGUGAGACUUUUUGCAUGUACCUUAUGAAUAAGGACCGGCUAAUUCCGUGCCAGCAGCCGCGGUAAUACGGAAGGUCCGGGCGUUAUCCGGAUUUAUUGGGUUUAAAGGGAGCGUAGGCCGGAGAUUAAGCGUGUUGUGAAAUGUAGACGCUCAACGUCUGCACUGCAGCGCGAACUGGUUUCCUUGAGUACGCACAAAGUGGGCGGAAUUCGUGGUGUAGCGGUGAAAUGCUUAGAUAUCACGAAGAACUCCGAUUGUGAAGGCAGCUCACUGGAGCGCAACUGACGCUGAAGCUCGAAAGUGCGGGUAUCGAACGGGAUUAGAUACCCUGGUAGUCCGCACGGUAAACGAUGGAUGCCCGCUGUUGGUCUGAAUAGGUCAGCGGCCAAGCGAAAGCAUUAAGCAUCCCACCUGGGGAGUACGCCGGCAACGGUGCAACUCAAAGGAAUUGACGGA